GUUUGACUGUCAGCGACUUAAAGUGAUGGUUCGUAGUAAUUUCACCCUAGGGUCCUUUGCACCACGACCUCGAGCCUAACGACCCCCCAGAAGCUUUUU